CCUACGGGAGGCAGCAGUCGAGAAUCAUUCACAAUGGGGGAAACCCUGAUGGUGCGACGCCGCGUGGGGGAAUGAAGGUCUUCGGAUUGUAAACCCCUGUCAUGUGGGAGCAAAUUAAAAAGAUAGUACCACACGAGGAAGAGACGGCUAACUCUGUGCCAGCAGCCGCGGUAAUACAGAGGUCUCAAGCGUUGUUCGGAAUCACUGGGCGUAAAGCGUGCGUAGGCGGUUUCGUAAGUCGUGUGUGAAAGGCGCGGGCUCAACCCGCGGACGGCACAUGAUACUGCGAGACUAGAGUAAUGGAGGGGGAACCGGAAUUCUCGGUGUAGCAGUGAAAUGCGUAGAUAUCGAGAGGAACACUCGGGGCGAAGGCGGGUUCCUGGACAUUAACUGACGCUGAGGCACGAAGGCCAGGGGAGCGAAAGGGAUUAGAUACCCCGGUAGUC
rnacentral:rRNA from 1 species